rnacentral:lncRNA from 1 species
UUUAUUUAUCAUUCCAGGUGUCGCACUGGGGCUUCAUAAUCUAUGAACUCCUGAGUCCACUGAGUUCUAGGAACUAUGGAACAGUUAGCACAGUUCUGAAGUUGUGGUCACAACAAUGGUAGCAGGAGG